CGCCAGCGGCCCGGCCCCAGCGCCGCAGGUCGUAGGCAAGGCGGGUCCGGGGACCCCAGGUCGAGCCCAGCGGCAGUGCAGGAUCGCGAGCGGCCCGGCACCGACGCUGCAGCACACUCACUUUGUGACUCUGUGUGGAGAGCUCCAUGUGACAAGGAACCAAGGGAAGCCUCCAGCCUAAGCAACUGAGACCUCAGCCCAACAGCCCUCAAAGAACUGGAUCUUCAAACAACCACAUAAGUGACCUAGAAGCAAAUCUGUCACCAGUGCUCUUGAGAUGGCAAGAGCCACUGAAGUUACACACUCACUCAAGGAUGGGAGAGAAGAGACUGAAGAAGACAAAACAGGCUUCACUUUGGCAGCCAAGUUGAAGGCUGGAAACACUGAUAAACAUGAGCCUCGUGGGCUUCCUAUUAUGCAUGGAUAGACCACACCAUUUAUAAAGGUGAAUUAUGACACGCUAACAAGAGCAACUGCAUGUCAUCAACCUUGGCAAAAUAAACUGCUAAUUGACAGAGAUCUGCUUCCAUCACUUUUUGGUCUGCUGAAGGAGCAACACACCUGUCCAUCAACAGGACUGGAGUUUGAUGCAAUUUCUCCUGUUUCUCAACAAGCACGAUUAUGGAAAGUGUUAAAAGAGGAUUAUGUUCUGAUUGGUGACAGCUGGCUUCAUGACAAUUGGAUGAACAAAGGAUUAUCUAAGUGUAUAACUUUAAAAACUAGGGCCAGGAGCUGGGUCAGAGGAUGAAACAAACACCCUCUUUGGCUGACUUUUAAGCUUUAGGUCCUCAAAUGAUGCUGUUGCUUGGGUAAUUGUGGACUUGCUGCAGGAUCGAGAGGGAACAGGCAGUGGGAGGCACUAGAGAGAAAGAACAUGAUGAAUAUUUCUGUUUUUUCCAUUAUCCAGCUCCCUUUCUGCAAUAAUCAGAGCGAGUCAUUUCACAUAGUGUGCAUGAUUUCAAUAGGUUAGAAACUAAUUUUAAAUCCAUUAAAAAUGAGCCCAUGUCAGCAUUGUCUCCAUGACCCCUUGACUUUAAAACAACUCAGAACAAUGCUGCCUUGCUGAUUUUCUCAUACUAUUGUAUCAUUUGGCAUAAAACAGGUGUGCCAUAGAUGUUUCAUUGUCAGCUCAACAUAAUGUACCUGCACAGUUCUCUAAUUUCACUGUCAAUGCAGCAAUCUUUUCUCCUUUGUUAAAAAGCUCUCAAAAUCACUGUAAUGCCAGUGCAUAUUGAAUUUAAGUCAAAUAAUACAUUUUUGCCUUUCCUGCUAACUUUGAAUCUUUAAAAAGCAAAAUCUGAAAAAUUAGAGAUGAGCCCUGGUGUGAGUCACUCUGUGCUAAAUUUCUCUGGUUUUGUGACAGUCAAUACUGCUAAAAAGAAGAAAAAAAUAGUAGGAAAAAAAUUUUUAAAUGUCUUCAUUAUGCUUGAAGUCUCAAGUCUUUUGUCUUUUAUUUAUUUUCAGUUCUUUUCUUUUUACAAUAAUCUUUUCCUUAAAGGAGUUUCCAUUGAAAAAACGAAAUGAGUGUCAAUGUGGAUUCACAUGCCAACCAUUUGUUGCCUUUCCCACCUAGCUCCCUAAUAACGCUACUUUCUUAGUACCUCUCAUGAGCAGUGUCUUGGUGAGAUACAUAACUACAUACUUACAGAGUUAUACAUAGUUACCUCAGCCAGGAUCACAAAAUGCACGCUUAUUUGUCUAUGCUGAUCAUUUUCUGUGCAAUGAAUGGGAAUGAAAAUAGACUCCAUUAUUUUUAUUAAACACACAAGUUAGAGUCCAAAAGAGAAAACACAAAAGCACAACGAGGAAAUGAAAAAGACAACUGGGGACUUUGGGGGUUCCGAAUUGAUGUUUCAAACUAUAUCUGACAAUUGAGGACUCAAUUCCUGAAAUGAGGAUUUUUUUUUCUUCGUUUUUUAAAAAAAUUUUACUGUAAGUUCUGGGAUACAUGUGCUGAAUGUGCAGGCUUGUUACAUACGUAUACAUGUGCCAUGGUGG